rnacentral:rRNA from 1 species
CUAGCUUGCUAGUUGCUGACGAGUGGCGGACAGGUGAGUAACGCGUAGGAAUCUACCGAGUAGUGGGGGACAACAGUUGGAAACGACUGCUAAUACCGCAUAAUCCCUGAGGGGGAAAGGAGGGGAUCUGUUUACAGGCCUUUCGCUAUUUGAUAAGCCUGCGUGAGAUUAGCUAGUUGGUGAGGUAAUGGCUCACCAAGGCGACGAUCUCUAGCUGGUCUGAGAGGAUGAUCAGCCACACUGGAACUGAGACACGGUCCAGACUCCUACGGGAGGCAGCAGUGGGGAAUAUUGCACAAUGGGGGAAACCCUGAUGCAGCCAUGCCGCGUGUGUGAAGAAGGCCUUCGGGUUGUAAAGCACUUUCAGCGAGGAGGAAAGGAGUAUGUUUAAUAAACGUGCUCUGUGACGUUACUCGCA